UGGCUCCUACGGGACGCAGCAGUGGGGAAUAUUGGGCAAUGGGCGCAAGCCUGACCCAGCAACGCCGCGUGAAGGAAGAAGGCUUUCGGGUUGUAAACUUCUUUUCUCAGGGACGAAGAAAGUGACGGUACCUGAGGAAUAAGCCACGGCUAACUACGUGCCAGCAGCCGCGGUAAUACGUAGGUGGCAAGCGUUAUCCGGAUUUAUUGGGUGUAAAGGGCGUGUAGGCGGGAGCGCGAGUCAGAU
rnacentral:rRNA from 1 species